rnacentral:rRNA from 1 species
AUUGAACGCUGGCGGCAGGCCUAACACAUGCAAGUCGAACGGUAACAGGAAGCAGCUUGCUGCUUCGCUGACGAGUGGCGGACGGGUGAGUAAUGUCUGGGAAACUGCCUGAUGGAGGGGGAUAACUACUGGAAACGGUAGCUAAUACCGCAUAACGUCGCAAGACCAAAGAGGGGGACCUUAGGGCCUCUUGCCAUCGGAUGUGCCCAGAUGGGAUUAGCCAGUAGGUGGGGUAACGGCUCACCUAGGCGACGAUCCCUAGCUGGUCUGAGAGGAUGACCAGCCACACUGGAACUGAGACACGGUCCAGACUCCUACGGGAGGCAGCAGUGGGGAAUAUUGCACAAUGGGCGCAAGCCUGAUGCAGCCAUGCCGCGUGUAUGAAGAAGGCCUUCGGGUUGUAAAGUACUUUCAGCGGGGAGGAAGGGAGUAAAGUUAAUACCUUGGCUCAUUGACGUUACCCGCAGAAGAAGCACCGGCUAACUCCGUG